UGAGCUUCUAUGAAGUGUGGUUUAUUUCA
rnacentral:piRNA from 1 species